CUGCGAAUGGCUCAUUAAAUCAGUUAUCGUCUAUUUGAUAGUACCUUACUACUCGGAUAACCGUGGUAAUUCUAGAGCUAAUACGUGCUGAAAACCCCGACUUCGGAAGGGGUGUAUUUAUUAGAUUAAAAGCCAAUGCCCCCCGGGGCCCCUUGGUGAUUCAUGAUAACUCCUCGAAUCGCACGGCCUUGCGCCGGCGAUGGUUCAUUCAAAUUUCUGCCCUAUCAACUUUCGACGGCUGGGUCUUGGCCAGCCGUGGUGACAACGGGUAACGGAGGGUUAGGGCUCGACCCCGGAGAAGGAGCCUGAGAAACGGCUACUACAUCCAAGGAAGGCAGCAGGCGCGCAAAUUACCCAAUCCCGACGCGGGGAGGUAGUGACAAUAAAUACUGAUACAGGGCUCUUUCGGGUCUUGUAAUUGGAAUGAGUACAAUUUAAUUCCCUUAACGAGGAACAAUUGGAGGGCAAGUCUGGUGCCAGCAGCCGCGGUAAUUCCAGCUCCAAUAGCGUAUAUUAAAGUUGUUGCAGUUAAAAAGCUCGUAGUUGAACCUUGGGCCUGGCUGGCCGGUCCGCCUCACCGCGUGCACUGGUCCGGCCGGGCCUUUCCCUCUGGGGAACCGCAUGCCCUUCGCUGGGCGUGCCGGGGAACCAGGACGUUUACUUUGAAAAAAUUAGAGUGUUCAAAGCAGGCUUAUGCUCGGAUACAUUAGCAUGGAAUAAUGGAAUAGGACGUGCGGUUCUAUUUUGUUGGUUUCUAGGACCGCCGUAAUGAUUAAUAGGGACAGUCGGGGGCAUCCGUAUUCAGUUGUCAGAGGUGAAAUUCUUGGAUCUACUGAAGACGAACUACUGCGAAAGCAUUUGCCAAGGAUGUUUUCAUUAAUCAGGAACGAAAGUUAGGGGAUCGAAGACGAUCAGAUACCGUCGUAGUCUUAACCAUAAACUAUGCCGACUAGGGAUCGGACGGUGUUGCUUUUUGACCCGUUCGGCACCUUGCACGAAAGUACAAG
rnacentral:rRNA from 1 species